rnacentral:rRNA from 1 species
UGGGGAAUUUUCCACAAUGGGCGAAAGCCUGAUGGAGCAAUACCGCGUGGGUGAAGACGGUUCGUGGAUUGUAAAGCCCUUUUCUUAAGGAAGAAUAAAUGACGGUACUUAAGGAAUAAGCACCGGCUAACUCUGUGCCAGCAGCCGCGGUAAUACAGGGGGUGCAAGCGUUGUCCGGAAUGAUUGGGCGUAAAGCAUCUGUAGGUGGUUCUUAAAGUCAACUGUUAAAUCCCAGGGCUCAACCUUGGAAAAGCAGUUGAGUACUUAAGGACUCGAGUAUGGUAGAGGCAGAGGGAACUCCUGGUGGAGCGGUGAAAUGCACAGAGAUCAGGAGGAACACCAGAGGCGAAGGCGCUCUGCUGGGCCAUUUACUGACACUGAGAGAUGAAAGUUAGGGGAGCGAAAAGGAUUAGAUACCCUUGUAGUCCUAACCGUAAACGAUAGGAUACUAAGUGCUGUACAAAAACAGUGCUAAAGCUAACGCGUUAAGU